CAGAGAACAUUUGAUAGUGUUAACGUUAUAGACUGAAGUGAGAGAUAGACGAACUUAUAAUGUGAAACGUUACCGAGUUAUCUGUUGACGGUCCCAUAUGGGGGAAGGGGUAUUCAAGUUCCCUUGUAGUCGUUCGGUACACGUAAAAUGUUAGAACACGUUUUGCGUAGAACGUCAAGAUUCUUUGGCGUGACGUUAUGUUUAUGUGAUGUUCGAAUGUUCUAAGAUCGGUUCGUUAUUUAUUCUACGUCCCUUCUUGAUUUUUGAACGUGAUUUUGACGAAUCUGUCUUGGUUUUGUCCUGCAAAUUUUGCUCUCAUUUCCUUCUCGUCAACUUGAGACUGCACUUCUGAUAGUAGAAAUGAUCUGUUCCUUUCUGUAACUUCUCAACUUGCCUGAUUUUACUUCAACCGUUUAAAGUUUACAAAAGAUCCUGAAAAGGCACCUUGAUGAAACUUCCAGGUUUCAGCUAAGAAGAUGGUCCUUGGGUGCCCUUAUGUAUCAUACAAUUGAGACUUCAGACUUUCACAGAAUGUUCAUGGUCCCUGAGUGAAGAUGUUCCCAGAGUAUCUGCAAUAUGACAAAUAUGAAAUAUGAAAUCUCAACUGAAUUGAAGUGGAUGUACAGAGAGGAGUAAUACUGAAAUGUGCACAGAGGCAUUCUCUCCACUUUGAAGCUUCUGCCAUUGAGUAUAACAGCUGCUGGUCAAGGUGUGGAUUUGUGACAACAACACUCACACCCGGUGUACCCCACAGAAGGAUAUUUGGACCACUUAGGACUGAAGAUGCCCAUGUGGCAUUUUGGGCAGCACCAUACAUUGAGCUGUCUGGGACAUCACAGGUAUCUCUAGUAUGCCAUGGCACUUAAACACAGCACUGAUACAGUUACAGUAGCACAGUGUCAUCAAUCACACGUAUACGUCCUUAUGCACUGGUUCUUACAUUAAGUAUAUAUAGUCCGUGUGAAGAUGUUGUGAAAUGAUUGACACUUUUGGAUUCCCGCUUGAAAUGUGGAGACUCUUAAUUCCUUGGAAAAAACCUCAAAUGGGAGGUUCUUGAUAAGAAAGCAGAAGAGAUUGUCUAUCAUAUCAAAUUUUGUACAGAUUCUUUUAGUUAUAGUAACAAGUAGAUGUCUGUAAAAUGUAAUCUGCUUCAGUCUGUCGAGUUACAAACCUAUGCAAUACAUGUAUAACAAAGUGUUAAGUCUUAUAUGUUUUCCUGAUUAAGUUUCAACUGCUCAGCCAGAACCAGAUGGACUAGGUGUUUUGUUUUGUUUUCAACAAAACUGGAGAUUUUAUGAAUCAGUUAGCUAAAUCAGGGCUCGAAAUACUUUUUCUGCAUACCUGCACUGGUGCAGGUAUCAUUGAAAAGACAAAUUUUACCUGAACUACUCUGAAUUUAAGAAGUAUGGAUCAUACUAAAAGUAUUGAGGAACCAUUGCUAUGUUUUCUUUUAUACCUAAUGGUAACAGUCAAUGCAGCUAAUUCACAUGCACCUACUAAGUACAUCAUAGUACAUUUAUGUACAAAACCCAGUACAUGGACCAGUGCAGGUUAGGUGCAGGUAGACAUCAGAAAUACCUGCACAGCUCCAAUUCUACCUGCACUAACCUGCAUAUGCAGGUGGUAUUUUGAGCCCAGUAAAUGCAUUAUCAAACAUGAAUAUGAAUUAUGUAAUAUGACAUUAUUUUACUUUUC